CUGGAAGGAAGCAGCAAUGAAGUAUCUAAAGAAGUGUUCCGCUGG
rnacentral:SRP_RNA from 1 species